AUUCGUGAGAAUACACAGAUGUCGGCGGGAUCCCGAUAAGGCUGUGACGAAGACGCACACCACAUUUUACACACACAAAAUAACUACAAUGAAGUUUGCUGUCCUUCUAGUGUUCGCUGCACUUCUCGUUGCCUCACACGCAGCACCUGAGCCGUGCGGCAAUGGUUGUGUUUCUGCUGGCUCUAACGGUCACUCCUUCUGCAUCAACCUCUGCUCCAACUGUACUGGCAACGUCAACUGCAACCACCACCUAGACGAGUGUGAAUGCCAUCCCCAUAAUCUUUAAGGUCUGAGGUCCAUGAAAGGGCCAAAGAAGUCAAACAUGUAACAGACCUGACAAAUAUACUUUAAAAUGACA